AGACAAGAUAAUAAGGGCAACAAGGUGGAUGCCUUGGCGCUGAGAGGCGAAGAAAGACGUGGUAAGCUGCGAUAAGCAUCGGGGAGGCGCUAAACAUCCUAUGAUCCGGUGAUGUCUGAAUGGGGAAACCCACUGGGAGUAAUGUCCCAGUAUCAUUGACUGAAUACAUAGGUCAAUGAAGCUAACCCAGGGAAGUGAAACAUCUCAGUACCUGGAGGAAAGGAAAUCAAAAGAGACUCCCGUAGUAGUGGCGAGCGAACCGGGAAGAGCCUAAACCAAACAGUUUCGACUGGUUGGGGUUGUAGGGCCGACAUACGUGAUUCUGGAGUAAGCAGGAGAAGAGAACUGGAAAGUUCCGCCAUAGAGAGUGAUAGCCUCGUAUCUGAACCUGAAAAAGACAUAGUCGGUACCUGAGUACUGCGAGGCACGUGUAACCUUGUGGGAAUCUGGGGGGCCCAUCCUCCAAGGCUAAGUACUCCUCAGCGACCGAUAGUGAACAAGUACCGUGAGGGAAAGGUGAAAAGAACCCCUGUAAGGGGAGUGAAAUAGAAUCUGAAACCAGUUGCCUACAAGCUGUGGGAGCAUCUUUAAGAUGUGACCACAUGCCUUUUGCAUAAUGAGUCAGCGAGUUAAUCUAACGUGCAAGGUUAAGCGUAAGUGUAGCCGUAGUGAAAGCGAGGCUGAAUAGGCCGUCAGUACGUUGGAUUAGACCCGAAACCAGGUGAUCUAUCCAUGAGCAGGUUGAAGCAAGGGUAAAGCCUUGUGGAGGACCGAACCAGUAACGGCUGAAAACGUUUUGGAUGACUUGUGGAUAGGGGUGAAAGGUCAAUCAAACCUGGUGAUAGCUGGUUCUCCCCGAAAUAUAUUGAGGUAUAGCCUUGGGAUUGAUUAAUGGAGGUAAAGCACUGAAAGAGCUAGGGGUCCUACCAGAUUACCAAACUCUAUCAAACUCUGAAUGCCAUCUAAUUGUAUCCCAGGAGUCAGACGGCGGGUGCGAAGGUCCGUCGUCGAGAGGGAAAGAGCCCAGACCAACAGCUAAGGUCUCCAAAUCCAUACUCAGUGGGAAAGGUGGUGGAGUUGUAUAUACAGCCAGGACGUUGGCUUAGAAGCAGCCAUCGUUUAAAGAAAGCGUAAUAGCUCACUGGUCUAAUGAUUCUGCGCCGAAAAUGUAACGGGGCUAAGUAUGGUACCGAAGCUUUGGCAUUGCCGUAAGGCAAUGGGUAGGGGAGCGUUCUCUAUAGGCUGAAGCAAAAUCGAGAGGUUUUGUGGACAGUAGAGAAGUGAUUAUGCUGACAUGAGUAACGAUAAAAUAGGUGAAAAACCUAUUCGCCGAAAACCCGAGGUUUCCUGGGUAAAGGUAAUCUUCCCAGGGUUAGUCGGUCCCUAAGGUAAGGGCGAAAGCCGUAGCUGAUGGGAAACAGGUUAAUAUUCCUGUACUUGAUACAUAGCGUGAUGGAGGGACGCAGGAAGGUAGGCAGGCCAGGUGUUGGAAGUCCUGGUGCAAGCAUGUAGAACUGUCUGGCAGGCAAAUCCACCAGAUGUAUUCGAGAUGCGAACCCGUGAACGUAAGUUCUGAAGCUGUUGAGCCUAUACUGCCAAGAAAAGCUUCUAAGCAUAUAUGUAUCAAACCGUACCGCAAACCAACUCAGGUGGGUAGGAUGAGAAAUCCAAGGCGCUCGAGAGAACUCUGGCCAAGGAACUCGGCAAAAUGGCCCUGUAACUUCGGAAGAAGGGGCGCUUUUGGGGGUGAAAAUAAAACUAUUGGAGCUCCUGGAAGCCGCAGUGAAUUGGUGGUGGCGACUGUUUACUAAAAACAUAGGUCUCUGCAAAGUCCAAAAGACGACGUAUAGGGACUGACGCCUGCCCGGUGCUGGAAGGUUAAAAGGAGGUGUUAGCGCAAGCAAAGCACCAAAUUGAAGCCCCAGUAAACGGCGGCCGUAACUAUAACGGUCCUAAGGUAGCGAAAUUCCUUGUCGGGUAAGUUCCGACCUGCACGAAUGGCGUAACGAUCUCCACACUGUCUCGGCCAGAGACUCGGUGAAAUUGAAGUCGCGGUGAAAAUGCCGUGUAUCCGCAGAAAGACAGAAAGACCCUGUGCACCUUUACUAUAGCUUGACAUUGGAUUUUGGGCUUGUAUGUGUAGGAUAGGUGGGAGCCAGUGAAACCUAUACGCCAGUAUAGGCGGAGGCAACCUUGAAAUACCACCCUUACACGUUUAAGAUCCUAACCCUGACCAGUUAGCCUGGCAGGAGACAGUGUCUGGUGGGUAGUUUGACUGGGGCGGUCGCCUCCUAAAAUGUAACGGAGGCAUGCAAAGGUUCCCUCAGCCUGAUCGGAAACCAGGCGUUGAGUGCAAACACAUAAGGGAGCUUGACUGCAAGACAGACAUGUCGAGCAGGAACGAAAGUUGGCGUUAGUGAUCCGGUGGUCCCGAAUGGAAGGGCCAUCGCUCAUUGGAUAAAAGGUACGCCGGGGAUAACAGGCUGAUCGCAUCCAAGAGUUCAUAUCGACGAUGCGGUUUGGCACCUCGAUGUCGGCUCAUCACAUCCUGGGGCUGAAGCAGGUCCCAAGGGUACGGCUGUUCGCCGUUUAAAGUGGUACGCGAGCUGGGUUUAAAACGUCGUGAGACAGUUUGGUCCUUAUCUUCUGUGGACGAAGGAGAAUUGAGAGGGUCUUUCCCUAGUACGAGAGGACCGGGAUGGACGCACCGCUGGUGGUUCUGUUGUCACGCCAGUGGCAUAGCAGAGUAGCUAUGUGUGGAAGGGAUAACCGCUGAAAGCAUCUAAGCGGGAAGCCCGCCUCAAGAUUAGUUCUCCCCCCUCGAAAGAGGCUAAAGGACCCAGGUAGACUACCUGGUUGAUAGGCUGGAGGUGUAAGUACGGUGACGUAUUCAGCUGACCAGUACUAAUAGUCCGUGAGGCUUGCUCUAUUUUACUUU
rnacentral:rRNA from 1 species